rnacentral:rRNA from 1 species
CAGCAGCCGCGGUAACACAGAGGGUGCGAGCGUUAAUCGGAUUUACUGGGCGUAAAGCGUGCGUAGGCGGCUUUUUAAGUCGGAUGUGAAAUCCCUGAGCUUAACUUAGGAAUUGCAUUCGAUACUGGGAAGCUAGAGUAUGGGAGAGGAUGGUAGAAUUCCAGGUGUAGCGGUGAAAUGCGUAGAGAUCGGGAGGAACAUCAGUGGCGAAGGCGGCCAUCUGGGACAACACUGACGCUGAGGCACGAAAGCGUGGGGAGCAAACAGGAUUAGAUACCCCGGUAGUCCCUGUCUCUUAUAC